CAAAAUUCAGAAUCAACUUUACUUGCAUGGUUGGCUUGAACUCCUCCACAACUCCUCCCAUCCACUCCAUCUUUCCUCCUCCUCCUCUGCAAAAUGAUCUCCAGGUCAAUGGAGAUUCCAGCAUGGCGCGUGCUGCUUUUCUUGGCAUGCCUACUUGCUGCAGAGUUUGCCGGUUUCAGUCAGGGAGGGCGAAUCGUCGCGGAAGAAGACGAGCGACCGGCAUAUUCAGUGGAGCAGCAGCUCUACAAGGUGCCAAGAACGCAAGAACGUAUUGGAAGUGGUUCUCCUCCCGGGCGGAUGUACGAAGCAUCGGCGAGACCAGUGCCACAAGGCUCAAAUCCCCUGCAUAACCGAUAAUUCAGGAUUCUAACGAAGAGCAUUGGAGAAUUGGAGUUCCACCGUUGCCGGUUCCGGCUGGAGCUUGUGCCCCGGUACUUCCCAACCAACGGGUGACGGGUGUGUGGUGGUGCUUCGUCGCCGGCAAGCCGGGAGAGAGCCGUGGAGCUGAUGGACGUCUGCAUGUGCGCUGUGACCUUUGAGACAAACUCUUUGGACCUAAUAACCAUGCAUGACUAAAAUGAUCGAUCAGAAAUUCAGAGU